ACGGCGAGUGAAGCGGCAACAGCUCAAAUUUGAAAUCUGGCUCCUUCGGGGCCCGAGUUGUAAUUUGUAGAGGGCGCUUUGGCGUUGGCGCCGGCCUAAGUUCCUUGGAACAGGACGUCACAGAGGGUGAGAAUCCCGUACGUGGCAGGCUGCCUCCGCCGUGUAAAGCCCCUUCGACGAGUCGAGUUGUUUGGGAAUGCAGCUCUAAAUGGGAGGUAAAUUCCUUCUAAAGCUAAAUACUGGCCAGAGACCGAUAGCGCACAAGUAGAGUGAUCGAAAGAUGAAAAGCACUUUGGAAAGAGAGUCAAAAAGCACGUGAAAUUGUUGAAAGGGAAGCGCUUGCAGCCAGACUUGCCUGUAGUUGCUCAUCCGGGCUCUCGCCCGGUGCACUCUUCUAUGGGCAGGCCAGCAUCAGUUUGGGCGGCCGGAUAAAGGUCUCGGGAACGUAGCUCUCUCCGGGGAGUGUUAUAGCCCGUGGCGCAAUGCGGCCAGCCUGGACUGAGGUCCGCGCAUCUGCUAGGAUGCUGGCGUAAUGGCUGUAAGCGGCCCGUCUUGAAACACGGACCAAGGAGUCUAACAUCUAUGCGAGUGUUUGGGUGUCAAGCCCGGGCGCGCAAUGAAAGUGAACGGAGGUGGGAACCCCCCCGGGGUGCACCAUCGACCGAUCCUGAUGUCUUCGGAUGGAUUUGAGUAAGAGCAUAGCUGUUGGGACCCGAAAGAUGGUGAACUAUGCCUGAAUAGGGUGAAGCCAGAGGAAACUCU
rnacentral:rRNA from 1 species